CCCAACUAUCCCUAUUAAUCAUUACGUCGAUCUUAGAAACCAACAAAAUAAGAUCAAACGUCCUAUUUCAUUAUUCCAUGCUAAUGUAUUCAAGCGAAUGCCUGCUUUAAACACUCUAAUUUUUUCAAAGUAACAGUCCUGAUUUCCCACGACACCAAAUUAAUGACAUCGUGGUUCGUCAGAAGGGAGAAACCGACAGGGCCAGUACACACCAGAGGCGCGACCGACCCGUCGAUCCCGAAAUUCAACUACGAGCUUUUUAACUGCAACAACUUUAAUAUACGCUAUUGGAGCUGGAAUUACCGCGGCUGCUGGCACCAGACUUGCCCUCCAA
rnacentral:misc_RNA from 2 species